CACGUAGGGCGCGAGCGUUGUCCGGAAUUAUUGGGCGUAAGGAGCUCGUAGGCGGCCUGUUGCGUCCGCUGUGAAAGCCCGGGGCUUAACCCCGGGUCGGCAGUGGAUACGGGCAGGCUAGAGGUAGGUAGGGGAGAAUGGAAUUCCCGGUGUAGCGGUGAAAUGCGCAGAUAUCGGGAGGAACACCGGUGGCGAAGGCGGUUCUCUGGGCCUUACCUGACGCUGAGGAGCGAAAGCGUGGGGAGCGAACAGG
rnacentral:rRNA from 1 species